rnacentral:rRNA from 1 species
GACGAACGCUGGCGGCGUGCCUAAUACAUGCAAGUAGAACGCACAGUUUAUACCGUAGCUUGCUACACCAUAGACUGUGAGUUGCGAACGGGUGAGUAACGCGUAGGUAACCUGCCUGGUAGCGGGGGAUAACUAUUGGAAACGAUAGCUAAUACCGCAUAAUAUUAAUUAUUGCAUGAUAAUUAAUUGAAAGGUGCAAUUGCACCACUACCAGAUGGACCUGCGUUGUAUUAGCUAGUAGGUGAGGUAACGGCUCACCUAGGCGACGAUACAUAGCCGACCUGGGAGGGUGGUCGGCCACACUGGGACUGAGACACGGCCCAGACUCCUACGGGAGGCCGCAGUAGGGAAUCUUCGGCAAUGGACGAAAGUCUGACCGAGCAACGCCGCGUGAGUGAAGAAGGUUUUCGGAUCGUAAAGCUCUGUUGUAAGAGAAGAACGGGUGUUAGAGUGGAAAGUUCACACUGUGACGGUAUCUUACCAGAAAGGGACGGCUAACUACGUG